AAGCUCUCUCCUAUCAGCACAUGCAGCCUCCCCCGGCCAGUUAACACCUGCAUCCUGCCUUGUUGUAUGGCUGCUUCAUCACUGGAGCUUUCCAAAGUCUUGGGAUCCGGUGGCGGCGGGGAGAUGCUGCAUCACCAGCAUCCCCCAGGGGUGCUGAGCUGCUGGUUUGUGGACCACACCAGGAGGAGCAAGGCCAUCACUGCCUGACUUGUGCCCUGAGCACAGACAUAGGGAUCUCCUAGCACUUACCUUAACCUUUUGCAAGUCUGGACUCUGAGGCCUGUGGUGCUUCUCAUCCUCCAACUUCAGCAUCUCCAUGGGCAACUUCUGACGGGUGGCUCCUCGGAGUUUCUGGAGAGCCAAGGAGAGGACAUGCUCGGGGACCUGCCCACAGCACCUGAGACGGCGGAUAGCCUCCCCUCCCCACCCCCCAGAUUCAAGCACAUCCCCCAAGGACCUCCUCUUUUGUGACCUCAUAGCCCUUCAUCUGUCCCACUCCUAACUGGCCCAAGAAGGGCCCCAGAUCAGAGCCGGGCUCCCCACCUCAGCAUCUACCCCAAUCUCAGUUCCACUACCUGCCUGCUGACUGCCCUGGGUCCCCAGCAAAACAGGAUCAACUUGCCAGACGGAGUUGUCAUGAAAUUAAAUGUAUUCACUUUUUUCGA